rnacentral:rRNA from 1 species
CCUACGGGGGGCAGCAGUGGGGGAUAUUGCACAAUGGGGGGAACCCUGAUGCAGCGACGCCGCGUGGGUGAAGAAGGGCCUCGGCGCGUAAAGCCCUGUCAGCAGGGAAGAAAAUGACGGUACCUGCAAAGGAAGCACCGGCUAACGCCGUGCCAGCAGCCGCGGUAAUACGGAGGGGGCGAGCGUUAAUCGGAAUUACUGGGCGUAAAGCGCUCGUAGGCGGGAUGUCAAGUCAAGGGUGAAAUCCCCGCGCUCAACGUGGGAACUGCCUUUGAAACUGGCAAACUGGAGUGUGUGAGAGGCUAGUGGAAUUCCCGGUGUAGGCGUGAAAUCCUUAGAUAUCUGGAGGAACAUCAGUGGCGAAGGCGACUCUCUGGCACAUAACUGACGCUGCGGAGCGAAAGCGUGGGUAGCAAACAGGAUUAGAUACCCUUGUAGUC